rnacentral:lncRNA from 1 species
AAAAAAAAAGUGAGGAUGCCACUCUGGGACGUCCCUGUGGGCCGCACCGAAGCCCGCGAGCCCGGGGAACGGCAGAUGUCACCUCACGCCCGACUCCCGGUGGGCUGAGGGACUCUGUGCCCUUGUCACACUUCCUUCUCGGAGGGCUUGGACGGUGCUCUUCGCCGCCACCUCUGUUCCCGCCCGCCUUGUCAUCGUGCCUGCUGGGCGGAUUUUCCGGGCUCUGGCACCCAGUCAGCCUAUGAUGCUGUCUUCUGUUGGUUACUUCAUAGCACUUCCAUUUUCAAAGAACAUCUUCCUGAGAAUAAACUUGGAAAGUAAUGUGACCACAAAACAUCAUAUUCACAGAGUUCAAAGGGAUAUUGGAUACAGAAUAAGAAAAUAUGAGAGAUUAAAACUCAGGAGUUGAGUUCUAGCCUGGAAAACAAGAUGAGAGAACUUUCCAGCCUGCACCAAUGUUCACAGUUCUGAUUGAAUUACAAAAUUUUUCUUCUUUUGAACUCAGAAGUCACUUGGAAACUUUGAGGGAAGUUUCACCACAUCCUUUAAGCCUUUCUUCUGGUUAGCAGGGGAGAUCCAUUAGAACUUAGAGAAAUAUCCCAGCCUCCAGUAUCAGUAGCCUUGCCAGCCUACCCCUAGGAUGCCUGGCCAGGCUUCAUUGUCAGUGUGGUUCACGGUCACAGUUUUACCUUCAGCUAGCCAUAUUUUCCUGGAUGGUCUUAAACUAUUUGCUGAGUUUGGGUUUUUUGUUUUGUCUUAUUGGAUUUUGUUUGUUUGGUUUGUUUGUUUGUUUUGCAGAGAGUUUUCAGACUUUCUGUUAGGUAAAUUUUAAAUUACCAUUAAGAAAUGCUUUCCAAGUUGUGCAUUGCCAAGUAACUGCUUCUCACUAUUCUAGUUUCGUUGGAAUUUUGGUAUUUUUAUUUUGUGUCUUGAUCUUUGGACACGAACCACACCAUUAUUAGUUUCUACUAGAGAUAUUUGUGUGUGUGGCAUGUGUACUUGAUCAUGUGUAUGUCUGCACAUAACGUGCACAUAGGUGUAGAGGACAGAGGUUGACUUUGGGUGUUUUCCUCCAUCACUCUUCCUCCUUAGGUUUUCACCGAAGGUCUCUCACUGAACCUGUGAUUCAUCAGUUCAGACAGGCUGGCUAGCCAGCAAGUUUCCAAGAUCUACAUGUCUGCCCUCUCAGGCCUGGGGUUAUCAGCCAUAUUAGAUGAGCACUUUACUAACUGAAUCAUCUACUACACCCUGUGGAAACAAUGUAUCCAGGGGAUUUUUAUCUGGGGCUUUCUUAUUCAUCUACUUUAUCUUCUUUCUAAGUAUCCUUUCCUGGCAUUUGUUACAUCACAGGCUUUUGUAUCUGUAUUUCUUGACUCCUUCCUAGUUAUUUCAGUCCUGCUUUCCCUUUUUUGUUAUCUUAGCCGGGACUCUUAAAGCGUGUGUGGGCAGCUGCUCCUCUGUGGCCUUUAUGGGCCUCUCCUCUUGAGAAAGUACUUUAUUAAGGCAAACCGCAGCUCCUGUCAGUCAGUCAGUUUCAGGGCUACAAGUACUACUUAUCAUUCUCCUCCAUAGUCAAUGCAAGUUCUAUGUCCCUUAGGUUGUUUCUUCCAUAAGCCUAAGGGCUUUGCUUGUAUGACCCAAAUCCUCAUUCCUGAAUUUAAAAAAAAAAAUGUGUAUCAGUAAUUAUUUAUAUCUUACUCUGGAAUUGCUGCACAUAUCCUUCCAAAUUACAAUUUGGAAUCAAAAUGUUCCCAGAUCAGUUACCUAUAUGUUUUUCUCUGCCUACCAUCAUUUUGGUUUCCUAUUGCUCUAGCUCAGUUACCACUGCCAAGAUGGGAAAUCCUUGCCUGCUCAUACCUGGAUCCAGAGUUCAAAAUCAAAAUGGCUCUAACAUAGUCUAGUGGGACUCUUAUUGUGUCUCCUGGCAGAAAUGCAUCCCAUUUGGAAGCCAGGACUUUUAUACCUUCAGUGUACAGAGUUAUGGGGACUGGAAAGUGUUCCCUAACAAGUCAGUAGGACUGGUGUUCAGUGGGGUCAUUUCUGCUUUCUCUGUUUUGUUCUUGGAACCAUGUGUUUGUUCUUAGUAGGGAUAAUAAUCCAAGCCAGUGUAUGUACUACUUCCUGAAGGAUGGCAUUUAAUCCUUAUGAAACCCUGCUUCUGAACUGGCACUUCAGUUAUACCAUUAUUACAUUGAAAGCAAACAUUAAACAGCUAGGUCAGAAACACUGAGGAAGGUAAAUAAGAAGGCUUGCACUUGGCUAUGAAAUAGCCAAGCUGAGCAGGUAAGAGAAGAGGCAGAACUCUGGGCUGUUUCAGCAGGGCCCAGGAGCCCCACCCUCUCCUGCAGCAACAUGUGCAAGGUAUUGUUGCCCUUUCCCUUAGUAAACAUCUAAAAUUUACAGGUAGUUAACCCUCAUGGAUAACCAUGCAUCUAAUUGUAACAGACUGAAUUGUGGGUAAUGGCUUCUGAGAAAGCCUGCACCUUUUUUAGGAGGGCGACCUCUCCAGACUGCCCCAGGGAUAGACAAAGGAGAACUGGUGGGCAAAGUCCAGACGCUAGAGGCAUUCCUUGGCCAUUGCCACUUGGCUCACAGUACCCUCCCAUCUUGCCUUUGCCUUCCCACCUGCUACAGUAAACCUCAAGAACUUGUUUGCCCUACCUGUCCCCUAAUGUGAAUCUCUUUACUUGAGAUUGGAGGACAUGUGGGAGGAGACAUCUCUAACACCCUCAGUAGGUUGCCUGGUGAUCGAUCUGUCAAACUGAAUGACCCUGUUGAUUCCCUGGUCAUGAAUUCACAUGUUAUCUUUUUACUGUGAAGUAGGUCCCGUUUGCAUGCUGUUGAAUUGGAUCCCAUACCUGUGGUUCAGGCAUUCUUUAAGGAACUAAGUCAUGAUAAUAUAGGCCAAGGCACUGAAAGGCAUAACAACAAGUCCAUACCCAGAAUUCACCCCUGUUGGGAUAGACCACUAGCUACUCCAAAAUGGAAAGAGUCCAUGUUAUUGACCAGGUAUCUGAUUUGUCUUGAGUAAUACUGCAGUAUUGAGAACACAGUGUAGUCCUCUGCUCCUAUCAGGUUCCUUAGAAACAGGUGUAGAUAUGGAUUGGCUUUUGUAGCUGGGAAUUUAUGUUGUGACUCACAUAUAGCCUCCUGUGCAAACAUGACAACUCAUGUGUUGUCUUAGUGACAGUUCUAGAGUAGGCCAUGACAAACACUUGCUUAACACCAACUGAUAGAAUCCUUUGUCAGUAUGAAUUUUUCUGUUUCUCUUUCAUGAUGGAUGUUCUAGUCAGAAUGAACCUGUCAUUAGCCGCUAAGCAAGACAGGCACCAUCAGGGACAGAAUCCUAGGUUGAUGCACCUUCAGGGUAUCCUUUCUUUAUUUGCAGCUAAGGCUCUAUGGCUUAAGAGCAUUCCUUGGGGCGUGUCUACUCAUUAGUUUUUGCUCUGCAAGCUCCAGAAUGUGUCUACUAUAGCCUCUUUUAAAACUAUGACCUUAAACUGAAU